GAUGAACGCUGGCGGCGUGCCUAAUACACGCAAGUCGAGCGGACCAAAGAGAGCUUGCUCUCUGAGGUUAGCGGCGGACGGGUGAGUAACACGUGGGUAACCUGCCUGUAAGACGGGGAUAACUUCGGGAAACCGAAGCUAACACCGGAUGAUAAAGAGAAAUGCCUGUUUCUUUUUUGAAAGUCGGCCUUAUGCUGACGCUUACAGAUGGGCCCGCGGCGCAUUAGCUAGUUGGUGAGGUAACGGCUCACCAAGGCGACGAUGCGUAGCCGACCUGAGAGGGUGAUCGGCCACACUGGGACUGAGACACGGCCCAGACUCCUAUGGGAGGCAGCAGUAGGGAAUCUUCGGCAAUGGACGAAAGUCUGACCGAGCAACGCCGCGUGAGCGAUGAAGGCCUUCGGGUCGCAAAGCUCUGUUGUCAGAGAAGAACAAGUACCGGAGUAACUGCCGGUACCUUGACGGUACCUGACCAGAAAGCCACGGCUAACUACGUGCCAGCCGCCGCGGUAACAC
rnacentral:rRNA from 1 species